GUAGACGCUACGGACUUAAAAUCCGUCGACUUUAAAAAUCAUGAGGGUUCAAGUCCCUCUAUCCCCA
rnacentral:tRNA from 1 species